rnacentral:rRNA from 1 species
CGGGUUUGAAAUGCAGGGAUUAACCUUCCGAAAGGAUGGGGAUAGGCUUCGGGUGUAACCUGCGC